rnacentral:lncRNA from 1 species
CGCAUUAUUUACUCGAAUGUUGCAGACCAAGUCAGGGACUCAGGGAUAGAAUUCACUUCUCAAGUCAAUUCAUUUAGGUAAAAAAAUCCGGCAGAGUUCUUGGUUGCCAACUUUGCAAAUUGCAACCCCAAAAAUUUAAAAUAUUCAACAGUUAAUACUUAACAUAUAAAUCAUUGAGUUAAUAACGGACGGUAAUUGGUAAUUUGUAAAUAUAUAUUUUUUAAUUAAUGCCCAGGAUUCGACCAAAAUGAUACUGUUACGCAAUAUAUACACAGAGACCUCAGUGCAGUAGUGCUUCUGCAAAAUCCCAGCAGUUCAUCCUGUUCAAAUUUCAGACCACCACUUUGUGCCUUUCUGACCAAAAUUUUCCUGUGUCAACUUCUAGCCAAUGUCAAAUUUCAGACCACCACAUCUUUUUUGGAUGCUUUUUGUCAUCUCUUCAUCUUCACCAUCUAUUUUCUGAAAUGUAGGCAUAUGGUGAUUUGAGAGACAUUGUGAACACAAAUUCUAAACUUCGAUUUAGGCGAAAGAUGAGUUGAGAGAAUCUUAUUAGACUGUUCACAAAAACAUUAAAAACAGGUGCUCCCUAAAAGCUUUCUCAAAUUUUCUUAUCAUUUACAGACUACCACUAUACUCAAACACACAUUGAAUGAAGGUCUUCAAAUCAAUCUUAUGCAAAUUUGUGUGGGGCUCCAAGGUUACAACACAAUUCAAAAUGCAGCUGCUGUCAAUAGGGUAGGCAGGCUAUGGAAUGAAGACGAGUUUUGAGAAAAGUGGAUGCAAAGGAACUACAUUAAAAAUAAGGGAUUCAAUUAAAUAUUAGCAAAGGAAACAGAUUCAAAGGAGAGGAAAGACCUGAUUGCUGAAUAUAUUAGGAUUUAGGUCUGGACCAAUAUAUUAAUAGGGAAAACAUCUGGAACGGCCCGUCCGCACGGUGAUCACCGUGCGGACACCGUCCAUUCCGAUUUUCGCCAUCGUUCAUUCCGAUCACCGUUCAUUCCAGAACCGAUUCCGCGAGCAGAGGAUGGAGCAGAGGUUCCGCGAGGGAGCGAUGGGUUCCGCGAGGAUGGAGCAUGGGUUCCGCGAGGAUGGAGCAUGGUUUCCGAUUGCGCUAGGAUGGAGCAUGGGUUCAUUCCAGAACCGAUUCCGCGAGCAGAGGAUGGAGCAUGGGUUCCGCGAGGGAGCGAUGGGUUCCGCGAGGAUGGGUUCCGAUUGCGCGAGGAUGGAGCAUGGGUUCAUUCCAGAACCGAUUGCGCGAGCAGAGGAUGGAACAUGGGUUCCGCGAGGGAGCGAUGGGUUCCGAUUCCGCGAGCAGAGGUUCCGCGAGCAUGAGGAUGGAGCAUGGGUUCCGCGAGGGAGCCAUGGGUUCCGAUCAUUCCAGAACCGAUUCCGCGAGCAGAGGAUGGAGCAUGGGUUCCGCGAGGGAGCGAUGGGUUCCGAUUCCGCGAGCAGAGGUUCCGCGAGGGAGCGAGGAUGGAGCAUGGGUUCCGAUUGCGCGAGGAUGGAGCAUGGGUUCAUUCCAGAACCGAUUCCGCGAGCAGAGGAUGGAGCAUGGGUUCCGCGAGGGAGCGAUGGGUUCCGAUUCCGCGAGCAUGAAGUCCCUUAUUUAAAGAUCGGACGGUGGAGGGCAGGGUACCGUCAGGAGCGACCGUGCGGACAGGGUCGUUCCUGAUCUGUACUGUAUAUUAAUAUACGUUUUAUUUUGGGUUUGCAUGAAUCUUAUAUUCUUAGGGAUUAUGCUGCGAUUUCACCACAAUAGGUAACAAGCGGGGAUCUACAAAUGAAGAGCAGCUGGCAAAUGCAUGCGGCUGACCAAAAAAAUGGAGGGAGCAGAAAGUAACCACUGAACCAUAAUCCAAUGUGCAAGUAAGAAUUGUAAUAGAUUAACUACGAUAAAUAUGGGGGUAAGACGGAAAACAGAAAGUGGACAUCAGGACAUGUAGUGAGAGCUGAAAGUGGAUCAUUGACAAUAACUGUUAUGUAAAUUUGUCUAUUUUAUCUCCUUCAAAAUCUGUUGGGUCUGUCUACUGUUUUCUUUUUAGCUCUCUCUGCACUUCAUCUAUGAUGAGGGUUUUCGAUGGUUUCAAUUAGGGAAGAACAUUAAGCCAAUGAAUAGAAAAUCAGGGCUACCAUUGUCUAUCAAAUUAGG